rnacentral:rRNA from 1 species
GGGUGUGAUCACACAAGUGUUAAUGUAGCAGCCCCAUCAAAACUUUGUAGUUAAGUGUGUUUAGGCUAGAGUAUUACUGGGAUGGGUGACCGAGUCUAGGAAAGUCCUUGUGCCGCACCCU